GUUGAGGUCUGUCCCGAUGGGGCUUUUUCUAUGGAACUACAGAGUCGAAAAUGCUUCAUGAAGUAACUAUGCCGUUUCCUUUACACGCAGAACUGUUAGGUCUGUGGGAAGGAAUGACAAGGCAGAG
ensembl:snoRNA